UACAGGAGGGUGCGAGCGUUUAAUCGGAAUUACUGGGCGUAAAGAGCUCGUAGGCGGUCUGUCGCGUCCGUUGUGAAAACUCGAGGCUCAACCUCGGGCUGCAGUGGAUACGGGCAGACUAGAGUGCGGUAGGGGAGACUGGAAUUCCUGGUGUAGCGGUGGAAUGCGCAGAUAUCAGGAGGAACACCGAUGGCGAAGGCAGGUCUCUGGGCCGCAACUGACGCUGGAGGAGCGAAAGCAUGGGGAGCGAACAGG
rnacentral:rRNA from 1 species